AGUUGUCCCUCAGUUGUUGUCUUGUUGCUCUGUUACCUCGUCAGUGUGGUUUUUGGCUAAACAUCAAGUAGCAGGUUGGAACAAUUUGGACAGCAAAUCAGUGCAUUACCUCUUAAAUAAUUACAAGCUGCUCGCUUUCGUCCGCCUCUGUUAAUUUGUGCACGCUUUUGUUUUUUCUUUCGUUUAAUUUUUUACUCCCCAGUAUGGACGAGAACAGUUUUCGAGCAGACGAACCUCCGAACAGUCGGCUUUUUGUCGUGACCUGCAAAUCCACAGCCGAAGAGGUGAUCCGACAGACCUUCGCCCAGUUCGAAGGAGUACAAAAUAUUUCAACAGUGAAAGACAAACACACGAAGGAAUAUAAAGGGGUGGCGUUUGUCAAGUUCGCCAAGUCGUCGCAGGCGUGUCUGGCCAUGGAGGAGAUGCACGGCAAGUGCUUGACAGAAGGAACGAAGCCGAUAAAGGUCUUCAUAGCACAAUCCAGAGGCUCAGGGAGCCAUCGAGAUUUAGAAGAUGAGGAUCUGACCCGAAUCUUUGUGAUGAUCCCUAAGUCUUAUACAGAAGAAGACCUACGAGACAGCUUUCAGGAGUACGGUGACAUUGAAUACUGUGUUAUUUUAAAGGACAGAAGCACAGGGGAGAGCAGGGGCUUAGGUUAUGUAAGAUUUCUGAAACCUUCCCAGGCAGCAUUAGCGAUUGAAAACUGUGAUAGAGAUUUCAGAGCAAUUCUUGCAGAGCCAAAAAACAAAGCACAGUCAUCCACAGACUAUGAAGGAUUUGGUAACAGCAGGACAGAGCAUGUCAGCCAUGAUGUGGGAAUGAAUACCUAUUCUUUUGCUGAAUCCAGUAAUUUUGGAAUGUCUGACAUGAGGAGAGAGAGCAGCGAAACAAUUACGAAAUGUUUACUGGUAUCAUCACGAGGCAGCGUAACUCAAGAACAGCUUUUCUCUCUGUUUGAUAUUAUUCCUGGCAUGGAUUAUUGUGAAAUGCAAAGGGAUCCCUAUGUAUACUAUAAAGGUCAAGCUGUGAUUCGAUACAAUAAUGUGGGAUCAGCUGUUUAUGCGAAGGAAAAACUUGAUGGGUUUGAAUAUCCUACAGGAAACCGACUUUCAAUUUCAUAUGUAGACGAUGGUGAAGAUAGAUCAAGCCCAGUUGGCACGAUGGCAUUACAGCUUGUAGCAGCUCAGAUGAUGUCCAUGGUGUGGAGCAGCCCAUCCGGUCAGCAAUUAAUCAAAAACAAUUCAGGGUUUUCAUCCGGAAGCAGCUCUCAUGUUCCUCGCUUUCAGACGGAUGCUGUUUUGCCAUCUAGAAAAGUAAUCACAUCUGAUAGCCGAGUCAAGGAGCGUCUUUUUGUAGUCUUCAAUCCAGUUCCUCUGUCAAUAGAUAUUCUGGAGGAUAUUUUCAGUCGAUUUGGGAAUCUUAUUGAAGCAUAUGUUGUACCUGGACGAAAUGUGGGCUACAUUAAAUACGCAGAUCGAAAGAGUGCCAGCGAUGCUAUUGCAGCCUUACAUGGUAAAGUUGUAAAUGGAGUAAGACUAAAAGUGAUGCCGGCUGAUCCCCAGAAAGAAGAGUCCCACAAACGGCAGAGGACAUAUUAGGACAUUUACAGAAACCAGGACACGAUUCCUUGUUGUUUGUUCUGCAUUUGUUGAUCCCCAUUAAAAAGAAAUGUAAUGUGACAUGACCCUCAGCAUGACUGGCGGACGUGAUGACUGGACUACCGACAGUGACUUCUUUUCUGUGACAUUGCUACUAGCUGCAUUUAGUUUUUUAUUUUGUUUUUUUUUUCUUACAUUUGUUGGCGUAAACAAGUAGGGGAAAGACAGACUUUCCAUAAAAGAUAAGGUUAGCUCUUUAUAAAACAUUUUUACCCCGUUUAUUUGAAAUCUCUAGUGUUGGAUGACAGUUGAAGAUUGUAUUCUUUUUACGUGUCACAGUUGGUUAUGUCAGAAUAAUAAUAAAAAAAAAAAAUUCUGUUUCA